rnacentral:rRNA from 1 species
UGCCCUUUUGUGGUAAACAGCCGCUGUAUUUUGACGGUGCUAAGGUAGCGAAAUUCCUAGCCUUUUAAUUGGAGGCCUGCAUGAAUGGCUUGACGAGCGCCUGACUGUCUCUCUCCCGCAUGUAGUGAAAUUAACUUUUGUGUGCAAAGGCACAGAUAAUUGAGUAAGACGAAAAGACCCUGUGCAACUUUACUAAGAAAAGAGGGGUUACCUACUUGUAGUUUAGCUGGGGCAGCUUAGGAAAAGAUAAAACUUCCUUGAAUUUAAGAUACUGGUAGGUUUGGAUCCGACGUAAUUAUUGUGUAGGUCGAGUAGCAGAAAAGUUACGCCAGGGAUAACAGCGUUAUCCUUCUGUGGAGGUCUUAUCUGCAGGGGGGAUUGCGACCUCG